UGAGGGAUGACGGCCUUCGGGUUGUAAGCCUCUUUCAGCAGGGAAGAAGCGAAAGUGACGGUACCUGCAGAAGAAGCGCCGGCUAACUACGUGCCAGCAGCCGCGGUAAUACGUAGGGCGCGAGCGUUGUCCGGAAUUAUUGGGCGUAAGGAGCUCGUAGGCGGCUUGUCACGUCGGUUGUGAAAGCCCGGGGCUUAACCCCGGGUCUGCAGUCGAUACGGGCAGGCUAGAGUUCGGUAGGGGAGAUCGGAAUUCCUGGUGUAGCGGUGAAAUGCGCAGAUAUCAGGAGGAACACCGGUGGCGAAGGCGGAUCUCUGGGCCGAUACUGACGCUGAGGAGCGAAAGCGUGGGGAGCGAACAGGAUUAGAUACCCUGGUAGUCCACGCCGUAAACGG
rnacentral:rRNA from 1 species